rnacentral:lncRNA from 1 species
GAGGGUUAGGGAAUGAUUCCCCGGAGUGGAGCCAGUGGGCCACCGGCCAGGGCAGGUGGCGAUGUCUGAGCAGAAAGGGAUUCCGUUAAUAAUUUCGCUCAGGGGCGCGAGGGAGCGGCUGAACAAUCAGUUGAGGCGGCUCAGCAAGGCCCUCACCCCAGGAGGCGCCGUUCAGGCCUCCAUCCGCUGGCAUUCACCGGAGCGGGGCUGCAAGAGGGCGCAGGUGCAGCGAGAGAAAGUGAAAAUCAGGUUGACUGACAUCUAG